rnacentral:rRNA from 1 species
GACGAAGGUGGCAAGCGUUGCUCGGAAUUACUGGGCAUAAAGCGCACGUAGGUUGCGAGAUAAGCGAGGAAUGAAAUCCCAUGGCUCACCCAUGGAACUGUUCCUCGAACUGUCUUGCUUGAGGGCGGGAGGGGAGAGUGGAAUUCCUGGUGUAGCGGUGAAAUGCGUAGAUAUCAGGAGGAACACCGGUGGCGAAAGCGACUCUCUGGCCCGUCCCUGACACUGAGGUGCGAAAGCUAGGGGAGCAAACAGG